rnacentral:sRNA from 1 species
UACUUGAGGAGACACUGCAUGCAGAUUG